GGGGCUAUAGCUCAGCUGGGAGGAGCGCUUGCAUGGCAUGCAAGAGGUCGACGGUUCGAUCCCGUCUAGCUCCACCA
rnacentral:tRNA from 1 species